GAUGAAGAACGCAGCGAAAUGCGAUAAGUAAUGUGAAUUGCAGAAUUCCGUGAAUCAUCGAAUCUUUGAACGCACAUUGCGCCCCGUGGUAUUCCGCGGGGCAUGCCUGUUCGAGCGUCAUUUCACCACUCAAGCCUCGCUUGGUAUUGGGCGACGCGGUCCGCCGCGCGCCUCAAAUCGACCGGCUGGGUCGAUCGCACCCUCAGCGUUGUGGAAACUAUUCGCUAAAGGAGUUGUGGUCGGUCACGCCGUGAAACAAACCAAUCUUUCAAUGGUUGACCUCGGAUCAGGUAGGGAUACCCGCUGAACUUAAGCAUAUCAAUAAGCGGAGGA
rnacentral:misc_RNA from 1 species